AACUUAGGGUGUUAUAGAGUUUCUAGAG
rnacentral:piRNA from 1 species